GGUGCGGCAGACUAUUACCAUCUCAUUUGACGCAUGAGGGGACUGAGGCUAAGGAAAGUCGAAUCACUUGCCUGAGGUGAAACAAGCAGGAUGACCCUGCUUUUCAUUUCCCAAAGAAAACAGAAGCAACCAGCAGAGAACCGCAUACCCUUCAGCCUGUGUUCAGCAGAGCCUCCUUCCUUUCUGAGGCUCCAGACCCAGCUUGGGCACCC
rnacentral:lncRNA from 1 species